rnacentral:snRNA from 1 species
GUGCUUGCUUUGGCAACACAUAUACUAAAAUUGGAAUGAUACAGAGGAGAUUAGCAUGGCCCCUGUGCAAGGAUGACAUGCAAAUUUGUGAAGCAUUCCGUAUUUUU